AAGAGAAAGAAAUCACUGCCUGCAGGCAACCUGUACUUCACUGCUGUACUUUAUGAUUUAGAACAUAGCGGCGAUGAUCUGAUAACUCAGUCCAAUUCAAAAAUGCUCUUCUCUUUAAGACUUUUUCAGGCAGUUGUCGCUGUCCCUCAUAUCAUCUCACCACUUCUGUUUUUAUAAGGAAAUCUACUUCACCAUGUCACACAGAGAACCAAUCUUAAUGCAUGUUCAAAUAAUAACUCAGUCAUGUGUUAAAGUGCUCAAAGUAAAGGUGGUGUAUGCUAACCAAUUGAAGCAGGCUGAGUCAUGCUGUUUUUUUUUUUUUCUGGGUUUCCCCCCUCUCUGAUCCUCUGCUCCUCCCCCCUCUGGUCUAGGAGCAGGCUCAAACAACCAGACCCGGCUGUUGGUGGCGUGUUGGAACAUGCCUUGACUUGUUGUACUGCCUGAGUCAGGCAGAGAUAGAGACAGCCACAUAGAGAAAGGAAGAGAGUGAGAAGAUGCUUGUGGUCAACAGUUUGCCAGUGUGAAGUGACCCACACAAAGAGAAAUGCCUGCUGCACCAUGGACAGACUCCUGUUGAUGUCAACAACAAAGUGCACUCCCUGGAGAAGAGUGUGGAUGGAGGAGCUCUACUGCUGCCUCGCUGCUUGAGCUUUUGGCUGUUGGCAUGGGACCACGCCACCCCCCCAGGGGCUUUUAGUGCGAGGCCAUUGCCGUCCAACUACCAUGUCCACCAGGAAGCUGGGCAUGAAAAGUGUGAGUGUCCGUAUUGCCAGACUCACAGGUGGAAGUAUACAACAAAUACCAACCAGGCCCAGGAUCCGGCUCAGGAAAGGGAGGCUGUGGGGCAGGAAGAGAGGCAGGCGGAGGGACAGGCGGAGGGACAGGCGGUUGGACGCGGCUGCUGUGGGUGUUUCUUUGGCAGUGUCUUAGCUGGUUGUUGUGAGGAGUGAGAACGAAGCAAUCAGCAAGUAUACUGCCGCAGAAAUUCUUCGCAAUAGAGGCCCUGGGAUCAGCCAUCACGAGAGGGAGGACAAGAUGCAUAUCAGCAUUGUAGCAAACAUGGAUCCUGCUGCUACUGUAAGUUUUUACAUGUUUUUGGACAAUGAAAUUGACAACAGCUGAGGACCUGAUAAAGAAUUAACUGAAGAUAGAUCACCUGGCCUUUUUCUUAACAGCCUCCACAAUAUUUAUGAUUGGAUCAAAGCAUCAAACGUUUUCACAAUAUGUUGUACUUUUGUGGUCCUCUGCUGCCAUCGUGUGAAUGAAAGCAACCUCCCAGCAUGCUUUUGGCCAUUUAACACUGCAGCAAUUUUUA